GAAUCUGUCUCUGUUUUCCUAUUUCUCUUUGUUUCUUUGUCUCUUUUUCUCUCUCCCCCUCAACUCUGUCCUUCUCUCUGUCUCUGCCUGUCUCUGGAUCAACAGCUUCCAUGUAUGUGACAUUGCCUGUGUGAAGUGGUAACUCUCUGCUGGACUAUUUCCCAAGCUUCUGGCUGCUUUGGGUUACAGAUGUUCUUAUAAAAAGCGAGACAUAUAGAGGUUUAAAAAAUUACCCCAGGAAGCCUGAUACGGAAAGGAAAAAGAGAUGCCCAUAUGUUUGUUUAGCAAUAACUUACAAUAAUUAAAAUAUUUUGAAAAUGACAACAAGUUGGGUCAGAGUGUAAAUUAACAAUGUUAAAUCAAUUAGCACUUAGUGACUACCUUCUCUGAUGGGUGAAAAGAUAAAUCAGAAUGGUAUCUGUUCCCAAGAAGUGGCUAAUUGAUUACAGGAGUAAGGCGUAUUUGGAUAUAGAUACAUAGAGAUGAAGGCUAGCUAGCUAGAUAACAGAUAGAUAAAAUCUACAUUUAUUUAGUGUUUAUAGUGUGCCAGGCUCCGGUGCCUUAAUUAUAUCAUCACAGCCUUUGCAACCACCUCGUGGAGUUGAUAUUAUUAUUAUUGUCCCUUUACAUCUGAGUAACUGAGGCACAGAAGGGUGACCUACCUGUCAGAGCUUAUGUGACUAUUAAGCGGGAAGGCAGAAUUCAGAGCUGGCUUUGAUGACGUGAAGACAGUGGUUUUUCCCAUGUGCCACAUCAGCACCCCGUCUUCCCCGCUUCCCUGCUUGUAGCAGUCCCAGCUCUCUGGUUCGUCCAGGAUAUGGUUGACAAUGGACUGAGAAAGAUGCUGUGGAUAGGCAGUGAGCAUAGUGGAGAUCUGGGUGUCACUGGAGCCUCUGUCUUUCUGGGCUGACUUUCUGGUCUCUUGCCUGCACAGGGCUCAGGAGAAGUGUGGGUUGAGGGUAGAAGUGCGCAGAUAGGACACCUCUUCCUGGUGGCGGCACCAGCAGCAGGUCCUGGCACAUCAGAGACAGAGCCCAGUACAGUCCCCUGCCUCACGAAUCCAGCGAUUAAAUCUGACCAUGUUGGCAGGGUGAGGGGUUCUAGAGGGCAUUCUUUUUUUUAAAAAAAUUGAAGCUUAGGUUAGAAUCAAGUUUAAUUAGAAUACUGAAAUUUAGAAUUAAGGUUAAAGAGAAAUUCGAACCUCAGGAACAAAGUGGAUCACCCAUGUGAAGUUAGGAAAGGUUAAAGAUGGAUUAAUUUUCAAUUAAAUAAGAUUUUGGCAUUGGAGUACAGGUUCUUUGGCAACAGAUGUAUUAGGGAGGGUAACACUAGAAAAGUCGAAGUCAAAAAGAAAUGAGUCCAGCAGAUUACUUGGGUUCAGUAAGCAAAAACACUAAAAUAUACAUGAAAAUAAGGCAGCAAAAUGUCUAUUUCUUAGGUGUUAUUUGCAUUCAUGGGCUGAAUCAUAGUUCACACUGUUACUUUAGAGGCUCUUGGUGUAAGCCUACCUCAAGAACACCAGUACUUUGUUCAAAGGCUCAGGAUAUUUGUGAGACUGGCUUUUCUCUUUCCAGAAGAUGAGCUUAUUGUUAUGAACAGGUACUAUCACGUAAGCAAUGCAAUUGCCAUGGAGAUGAUUACAGAUGGAUGCUUGAAGACAGGCUGGCAGUUCAAAGGGACCAGCUGAAGGUGGCUAGGGGUUGGUAGGUGUGGGCCAUGGAGACAGAAAGCUCCCUGUCCACUCUGCUGAGGGACUUUCCCCUGUGGAAGAAUGGGAGCACCUUUGCAACUGUCUGGUAAGGCUGAUGUUUAAAAAUGAUGACCACACUCAGCAGGGCUGUAAAUCUGCUGCAGGAGGGCUACUGGGCAGCCAUGUGACAGCCCUGACUUCCUUCUUAAUGUCUAAAGGUGGGAAAUUUCCACUGAGAGGUAGAACACAGGAAUAAGUUCAUCCGUCCAUUCAUUGAACAAGGUUCUAUUGAGAGUCGGUGAGUUCCUGGUUCCUUGGAAGGUGGUGGUCACUCCCAGAGGCAUCGGCAUGGUGUCUGCCCUCAAGAAGUGCACAGUCCAGUUGUGGAGAAACUAGAGAUGUGCAGGGAAUGUGAAAUGUCAUGUGCGAUGGCAGAGGCAUGUACAGGGUGAGGCACAUGGCAGGUGUGCUGAUGCUGACGCUGAUGAAGAGCACCGGGGCCCAAAGGCAUCUCAGGAAGCUCUGUUGAGCUGACUUUUGCAGACAGCCCAGGAGGUGGUGGUGAGAAAGGGCUCUCUAAACAAAAGGAAAUACAGCAUGUGGAUAGUUCCAGAGGACUGAAACAGUCUUCUAGCUCAGCUCACCAUCACUCAGUUUGGAUUUUGUUGUGUGAAGUUCCCUGACUCCUGGCCUACUUCUAUCCACCGUUCAUUCAUGGGACAAACAGUAACUGUACACCUACCUCCUAGAGCCUCCUAUGACAAAGGCACCCUAUGGCUCAGAUCUGAAGUCACCUGCCCUGUCUGGACAUUCCAUAGACUACCAUGUUUUGCCACAACUUCGAUGUGCAUGCUCGUUGGACCAGAUAAGAAAGCAGUGGAAAGUGGGUUGGAGGUCUUGGUAAGCCACAUGCACAUCAAGGCUGGGAGAUCAGCCCUGUGAAGACUUAGAGGCUUUCCAAUUGGUGGAGUGUUUAGGGGCUUAACAGGAGAGUCCCUCCAAAGUAGAGUGAUUGCAUUUCAUACAUCCUCCCAUAAAGAAGCAGCCUGGUGCUGAGGGGCCUGUUUAGCUUUUGGAGGAAGCAUAGUCAGCCCUUGCGAACACUGCUUGAACCCAUUUUCUGGGUUAUGUGGAAGGCUGUCAUCUUUGAUUGAGACCCAGAAAGGAAGGCAUUCUCCAUAGGUCCAGGUGAUGGUGCAAGUAACCCUGCCAUUUGUGCCAUAUGACCUGGACAACUCUAUGGUACUCUGUGGCAUUUAUGCUGUAGUGUGGCAGACCUUGACGGCACUACACGCACGUACGAUACAUCAUGGAGGUAUGGAAAGGAUAUCGUGUCGAGCUCAUGGCAAAUCCUGGGAGAAUCACUGCACUCCUGGCAUUCUGGAGAAAGGCCAUGCCAUCACCCCCAGAGAAGAAGAAUAAAUCAUUUGAGAAGUAGCCCCUGGCAUGCUUCUCCGCCUGAUAGAGAUGAAGCAUGUCACCAUUGGGGGUUGAGUAACCGCAUGGCUGGGUUAGGUUCUGUCAGCCUCAAUUGUAAAAUCGGGUGGGCCCAACAGAAGGGGAAGUAGGAUAUCUAGGACUGAACACGACUGGGGCCAGAGAGAACAAGGAAGUUGCACAAAUGGUUUGCUUGGCCCUCAGGUCAUCUACCACUCUUGUUCUGGUCUUUCUCCAUCUGCUCACACUGAUGGCUUUCUCUCAGGCCAGGAUGGCUUGAUUCAUUGGUACAUGUGCAUUUAACAUGGAUUACAGGCAACACCACUCAGGGAUGGCCUUGGGAGACAGCAGUGAGGGGAAAUUUUAUGGGGCACAUCCACCUGGGGAGAUUCUCUGGUCAUCCACUUUGUAGGGAAAGUGAGGUGGCCUGAGGUAAGCAUAUGUGCCCUGUGACAUUUAUGGCAAGGCUCAUGGGCAGUAGGAUGUUAGAAAAAGAGGAAGAUUGGAACACGGGAGACUAGGAUAUCUGGGGAAGGGGGCUGCGGGUGGACCUAUCAGGGUGAGUGCAGAGUAUGAAGAUCUGAGUAUCACAUGGUGAUCCCCAGCAAAGAGCACUCACUGUGGAAGGGGCAGAAACAACCAAAUAGGCCAGGCAACUCACCCGGUGGACAUCAGUGAGCCUGUCAUUGCCUCACCCAGUGCAGGGACAGCGGAUACACUAGUUGCAGAAAUGACAUUGUGCAAGAGGCCAUCAGCACCGGAUCCCACUCUCCAUGGCUCUUCUACAUGCUGCUGCUGCCGAAUGUCUAAUCUGUUAGCAGCAGAGACAAGCAACACCAAGCCCCCAAUUAGUGUUUUAAAAAGACUAAUCAACCAUUUGGUAGCAAGUUGACUGUGGAUAUUUAUUCCCAUGCAGGGAAUAGAGACUCCUCUAGGCUUGGAUCAUGAGAUAGUCUUGGCAUAAAUUUGCCUUUCCUGCCUGCAGGGCCUAAACCAGCAUCACCAUCCAGCAACACGGGAUUCCACCUUACAGUGCUUUAGGUCAAGAAACUCGUUUUAUCACAAUGGAAAUUCAACAGUAGGCACAUGACAAUGGGUUCCACUCUUCCCAUCACAUAUGACCUCACUGAGAAGCUGCCAGCUUGACAGGGAAGUGGAUGAGCCUUUUAUAAAUAGUUAAGGGCCUUGUUUAGAGAUAGUGCCCUAUGAGGAUGGGCCUUUGUCUUCUAGGAUGGUGCACAUACUACAUCAAUGCUGCUGUGUCCCAAGUAGGUUGGAGCCAAAGGAAAGAAUAGUGGUAGGAGCAGCCUUACUUACUAUCACCCCCAGUGACCUACUUAGGGAAUGUGUGCUUUCUUUCUCUGCCAUAUGAGGUUCUGUGGGUGUAGAGGUCCUGGCUUGCAGAGCAAGAAUGCCUCUGCAGGAGGACACAGCAAAAGUCCCAGUGAACUUUAAUUUACACCAGCCAUCUGGUCACUUAGAGCCUCCCAAGACAAGGAUCAGCCAAAAAGGAAGGGAGACAUCACCCUGGCAGGCACAGUUGACCAGGGGAAGCGGGGCUGCAGAUGUACAGCAGGCAGAGAAGAAUGCACUUGUUGCUUGGAGGUUGCAAUGGGGUGUCUCUUGGUGCUCCCAGGCUCAGUUUUAACUACAAGUGGCCAAGUGCAGACGGCAUAUCUUGCAAAGGGGGUGAUAGCUAGGGGUGCAGCCCCUUCAGAGAUGACAGUCUGAACUGCCCUACCAGGCAAUCUACCUAGACAAACAGGUGCAAAUUGAGGAUGGGGGGAAUCUCAAACCAGUGGUGGAGGAGAAUGAUGAAUAUCAGUUAUAGUCUUGAGGUUAACUGCAGCAGUGGGGGUCGAAAUUUACUCUACUAAUCUUCCCUUGUAAAUUUCGUAGGUAAACAAUCCGACCAAAAUCCUGGGACAGCUAUUCCCCGAUGGGGCACACUUACUAGAAGAAGCAAGUGAAUUUAAAGGGGGGUGAACUAUAGGGGAGUUCACCACCAAAUCUGUGGUUCUUUCCCCAGAUCUUUCUUCAGGGCCAACACAUCCAUCACUCAGCUGUGACAGGCAGGAGUUGGGAGUGGCUCACCUUUCUCACUGGGAAUUGCCCCCAACAAUAGGGAACUGCCUCAUUCAGGGUUAAGGCAUCUCCUCGAAGAAUGCCCAUGUUUAAUUACUGGCUGACACAAGAAUAUGAAGGACCAGCCCUUGUCUCAGCUUGGAACAAAUCUGAAGGCCCAUCACAGCUUCAGAGAUCCUUGGAGAAGGCUGAGAUCUCCAUUGCAAUCUUAUGGAGAGUGUCUUCUCUCUCUGCCCUACUCUGCCUUCCUUCCUGGCAGAGGUUUCUUUGAGAACACUUCUUGUAUUAGUCUGUUCUCAUGCUGCUAUCAAAGACAUACCCUAGAUUGGGUAAUUUAUAAAGGAAAGAGGUUUAAUGGACUCACAGUUCCACAUGGCUGGGGAGGCCUCACCAUCAUGGCAGAAGGCUAAUGAGGAGUAAAGUCAUGUCUUAUAUGGUGGCAGGCAAGACAGAGUGUGUACGGGGAACUCCCUUUUAUAAAAUCACCAGAUCUUUUGAGAUGUAUUUACUCUCACAAGAAUAGCAUGAAAAAGACUCACCCCAUGAUUCAGUUACCUCUCAUUAAAUUCCUCCCAUGACAUGUGGGGAUUGUGGGAGCUGUAAUUAAAGAUAAGAUUUGGGUGGGGACACAGCUAAACCAUGUAACUUCUCAAUAACCUUUUUCAUGCAAUUUCAGGCUAUUUCCUAUAAGUUGGGUUUUAGAAUAUCCUAGGCCUUUAGGAUGCUAUCUAUACUUUAUGGAAUAUGUCAGGUUCUAGAAAAAACGAUCUUGAGCAAGAGUAAUAAUGACUCCUCACUAAACAAAAACAAAAUAAAACAAAACAAAAAAUGAAACUUAGGACAAAAGUUUCUCCGUCAAUUUUCCUUUAUUAUUAUGCUGUGGCUGUGACUCUCUUUAUCCCUAAGGAUGUUUUGUUUUAAAAUUUAUUUUUGUCUGAUAUUCAUAGAGCUAAUUUGAUUUUAUUGGUAGUAAUAUUUGCUGGAAAGUCCAAAAAACUUCAAUCUAUGCGGUUUUUUUUUUUUUUUUUUUAUUGAGUUGGAGUUUCACUCAUGUUUCC